rnacentral:tRNA from 1 species
GACUUCGUAGCUCAACCGGUGGAGUGUGCGUGUACAAAGCGUAGGCGGCGUCCAUGAGUGGGUUCGAAUCCCACCGAGGCUA